rnacentral:rRNA from 1 species
UACGAAGGGGGCUAGCGUUGCUCGGAAUCACUGGGCGUAAAGCACACGUAGGCGGACUCUUAAGUCGGGGGUGAAAUCCUGGAGCUCAACUCCAGAACUGCCUUCGAUACUGGGAGUCUUGAGUUCGGGAGAGGUGAGUGGAACUGCGAGUGUAGAGGUGAAAUUCGUAGAUAUUCGCAAGAACACCAGUGGCGAAGGCGGCUCACUGGCCCGAUACUGACGCUGAGGUGCGAAAGCGUGGGGAGCAAACAGG